rnacentral:rRNA from 1 species
CAGCAGCCACGGGAAUACAGAGGGUGCGAGCGUUAAUUGGAUUUACUGGGCGUAAAGCGUGCGUAGGCGGCUUUUUAAGUCGGAUGUGAAAUCCCUGAGCUUAACUUAGGAAUUGCAUUCGAUACUGGGAAGCUAGAGUAUGGGAGAGGAUGGUAGAAUUCCAGGUGUAGCGGUGAAAUGCGUAGAGAUCUGGAGGAAUACCGAUGGCGAAGGCAGCCAUCUGGCCUAAUACUGACGCUGAGGUACGAAAGCAUGGGGAGCAAACAGGAUUAGAUACCCCGGUAGUCCCUGUCUCUUAUAC